GAGCCCAAACCAGAAACUUGUUUCUGGGGUUGUGGAUAGAUCAUAAAAGAAGAGGUAUCUUAAUCGAAGAGGGCUGGAACGCCCUACCAUAGAAGGUAAUAGUCCUGUAGGUAAAAAGAGAAAACUUUAAGAUCUAAUCCAGAGUACCACGAGACACGUGAAACCUUGUGGGAAGCAGGGAGGACCACCUCCCAAGGCUAAAUACUACCUAGUGACCGAUAGUGAAGCAGUACCGUGAGGGAAAGGUGAAAAGAAC
rnacentral:rRNA from 1 species